GAUGAACGCUGGCGGCGUGCCUAAUACAUGCAAGUCGAGCGAACGGACGAGAAGCUUGCUUCUCUGAUGUUAGCGGCGGACGGGUGAGUAACACGUGGAUAACCUACCUAUAAGACUGGGAUAACUUCGGGAAACCGGAGCUAAUACCGGAUAAUAUUUUGAACCGCAUGGUUCAAAAGUGAAAGACGGUCUUGCUGUCACUUAUAGAUGGAUCCGCGCUGCAUUAGCUAGUUGGUAAGGUAACGGCUUACCAAGGCAACGAUGCAUAGCCGACCUGAGAGGGUGAUCGGCCACACUGGAACUGAGACACGGUCCAGACUCCUACGGGAGGCAGCAGUAGGGAAUCUUCCGCAAUGGGCGAAAGCCUGACGGAGCAACGCCGCGUGAGUGAUGAAGGUCUUCGGAUCGUAAAACUCUGUUAUUAGGGAAGAACAUAUGUGUAAGUAACUGUGCACAUCUUGACGGUACCUAAUCAGAAAGCCACGGCUAACUACGUGUCAGCAGCCGCGGUAAUACGUAGGUGGCAAGCGUUAUCCGGAAUUAUUGGGCGUAAAGCGCGCGUAGGCGGUUUUUUAAGUCUGAUGUGAAAGCCCACGGCUCAACCGUGGAGGGUCAUUGGAAACUGGAAAACUUGAGUGCAGAAGAGGAAAGUGGAAUUCCAUGUGUAGCGGUGAAAUGCGCAGAGAUAUGGAGGAACACCAGUGGCGAAGGCGACUUUCUGGUCUGUAACUGACGCUGAUGUGCGAAAGCGUGGGGAUCAAACAGGAUUAGAUACCCUGGUAGUCCACGCCGUAAACGAUGAGUGCUAAGUGUUAGGGGGUUUCCGCCCCUUAGUGCUGCAGCUAACGCAUUAAGCACUCCGCCUGGGGAGUACGACCGCAAGGUUGAAACUCAAAGGAAUUGACGGGGACCCGCACAAGCGGUGGAGCAUGUGGUUUAAUUCGAAGCAACGCGAAGAACCUUACCAAAUCUUGACAUCCUUUGACAACUCUAGAGAUAGAGCUUUCCCCUUCGGGGGACAAAGUGACAGGUGGUGCAUGGUUGUCGUCAGCUCGUGUCGUGAGAUGUUGGGUUAAGUCCCGCAACGAGCGCAACCCUUAAGCUUAGUUGCCAUCAUUAAGUUGGGCACUCUAAGUUGACUGCCGGUGACAAACCGGAGGAAGGUGGGGAUGACGUCAAAUCAUCAUGCCCCUUAUGAUUUGGGCUACACGCGUGCUACAAUGGACAAUACAAAGGGCAGCGAAACCGCGAGGUCAAGCAAAUCCCAUAAAGUUGUUCUCAGUUCGGAUUGUAGUCUGCAACUCGACUACAUGAAGCUGGAAUCGCUAGUAAUCGUAGAUCAGCAUGCUACGGUGAAUACGUUCCCGGGUCU
rnacentral:rRNA from 1 species